GAUGAACGCUAGCGGCAGGCUUAACACAUGCAAGUCGAGGGACGGUAGCAAUACUGGACCGGCAAACGGGUGCGGAACACGUACGCAACAUACCCUGAACUGGGGCAUAGCCUUCUGAAAAGGAGAUUAAUACCCCAUAAGAUAAUAGAGUGGCAUCACUUAGUUAUUAAAGAUUUAUUGGUUCAGGAUUGGCGUGCGUCCUAUUAGCUAGUUGGUAAGGGUAACGGCCUACCAAGGCGACGAUAGGUAGCUGGUGUGAGAGCACGACCAGCCACACGGGCACUGAGACACGGGCCCGACUCCUACGGGAGGCAGCAGUGAGGAAUAUUGGUCAAUGGAGGCAACUCUGAACCAGCCAUGCCGCGUGAAGGAUGAAGGCGUUCUGCGUUGUAAACUUCUUUUGCGGGGGAAGAAACCUGGGAUUUCUAUUCCAGCCGACGGUACCCCGAGAAUAAGCACCGGCUAACUCCGUGCCAGCAGCCGCAGUAAU
rnacentral:rRNA from 1 species